GGUGUUGUGGUUGAGUGGAUUAGUGUCUGGCCUGUGAACCACAAGGUUUGGGGUUCAAAUCCCUGUCACAUCA
rnacentral:tRNA from 1 species